rnacentral:tRNA from 1 species
GCCCGGGUGAUGAAAUUGGUAGACGUAGGGGACUCAAAAUCCCCCGCCGCAAGGCGUGCCGGUUCGAGUCCGGCCCCGGGCA